GAGCCCGGAGCUGCCUCAGAUGUCUGUGGUACUCGCAAGGAGGAAGGAACAAGGCCGCGCAUCGUCUCCUAGUGUUGGGUAGCUCACCACAAAGCUAGGGUGAAAUAUCCCCUUUGCAAAAAAGGUUACCUCACGGACCUGGGCAGUAAGGAUUGCUUUCCCAUUUCCAGCAACUCACCAUGGACCAGCCCGAGGCGUCACCACUCCUCCUGUUACAAGUUAGGGAGCUGAUUGAACUCAUUUACUGGCAGAAGCCUGUUUUCCAAACAGAAACAUUAAUCCCUGUUCCCCACCACUGACCACCGCCGGCCACAGCACCUGAGUAUCCACCCCCAAGAAGGUCUGUAUGCCAGGAAGCUGAAGCACGCCAAAAUCAAAUGAAGAGAUUGUGAGAGCACUUGGUCUUGACUCUGGCUGUAAAAUACACCGUUGUUUUAUGGCUAUGAUGCUUUGUUCUGAGAGUGGGAAGUAGUAGGUGCACAUUUGUGAUGACAUUCAUGGAACUAAGGAGGCUGGGUGCAAACUGGGGUCACUGCCCAGUGGCAGCAGUCAUUUCAAGGGCUUCACAGUGUUAUUUGCCAAGGACAGCUUGUAACACCAGGGACCAGAGGAGCAUCUAUUCGGUGUAUUUAUAAUGAUUAUAUGUAUGUCCAAAUGUAUUGGGUUGGUGUUGCCAGGUUUUGGUCAUGGGGAGGCUGCAGGAGUGAGCUCUCUGAGAAGCUGCCAGGAACUUCCCCUGUGUCUGACAGAGCCAGAUGACUCCAAGUUGGACUUGCCACUGGCCAAUGUCGUGCACAUCAGUGAUUACAGUAGCACCUCUGGGGUCAUUUAUUUGAGAAGGGAGAAAACAACCUGGACACCUCCAGCCCAAGACAGGAGUGAAAACAUGGGAGAGAAGAAGACUAAAGCUAUUAGACAGCAUCCAAAGGAGGGCAACUAAGAUGCUGAAGGGCCUUUAGGGGAAGCAUUAUAAGUAACACCUGACAUCACUUGGUCUGUUCAUCCUGGAGAAGAAGAGACUGAAGUGAGACCUCAUUGCAGUUAUCAACUAUCUUGUGAGGGCAAGAGGAGGGGCAGGCACUGCUUUCUUCUCUGUGGUGAAGAGUGACAGGACGUGAGGGAAUGGCCUGGAGUUGUGUCAGGCAGAGGCUCUGGGUGGAGGUCUGUUGAACUCAUGUUUCCCACCUGUCAGCCUUGUGGCUUCAGAGUCUGCAGAUCAGCUACGCCACAGAAAGCACUGUUCCCCAUUUACACCACCAGCUUCACCAUUGUACCUGGGAAUUUCUACUGUACUGCCCUGUACUCCGUGUACCAUCACUCACACUGGAAGACCCCUAACUGUAAAAAGACAGCCUGAGUGGUUGAUAAUGGAAAUCAUGGAAGAAGUUACCAAGAAAAGGCAACACAUUAUAGUGGUUGUUAUCUCCCUAAAUAUCUUGAUGAAUAUUGAUGGCACUAGUGCCCCCAUUUCAGGUCUCUCUAAGCCUGACAUGGGCACACUGCCAUAAGGAUGCUUGAGCAGGAGAAUAACAAAUUCAUCACAGGAAGACAUACAAAAGAGACACUGUCAGAGGGACCAUUUUGUCAUCUUGCUGCAGGGCAGAAGUCACACAGGUCACUUUCUGCUACUUAACAACUGCUCUCCUCUGCGGCCAGUGAGCCACUGCAAUUACUCUCUUGCUUUUAAUUAAAAAAAAAUUAUUUACUUAGUAACUAUAAAUCUAGCCACCUAAGAAAGGGCAAUUAUUUCUAGAAAAUCUUUGGUUUGGGCAUAGCAAUUAGAUAUGAUUCCUUCAAAAUGUUUUUGCUUCACCUACAGCAAAACUGAGCUCCCUUCUCUUAUUCUGUCUGAAGUCCGUGAUGAAUUCACUAUGCGUUUGUAUAUUGUGAAAUGUAAGAUUAUAUUCCAUCACCAGUGGAACAUGAAGGGUGUUACUUUCUUAGGCAAUCUAUUUUUAAUUCUGUAAGCCAUGGUUUAUUAGCUGAAGCAAGCAUAACACACAUGACUUACAGCAGUAAGUUAGUUGAAAUCAGAUUGACCCUGGGUUUAGUUUUAACCAGAUUUAAAAAAGACAGAUAGUUUAGACUGGAGAUGGGGAGAAAAAAAAAUAAAAGGGUGACACUGAUUGGAGUAUUAAACCAAACUGCUUCUUCUGUCCCUGAAUGAAAACAAAAGCAAGUUUUGUUGCAAGUCCCUUGUUUGUCUUCAGUAAUGUAACAUUUUGUGGAAGAGAUGCAAGAGAAUGCACAUAAAAGUCUUCUGUGAAAGGUCAGGCUGAGAGUCACAGACUCAGAAGAAAAACAGAAAGAAAGAUGCAGCAUUAAAGAACAGACUUGAAAGCUAGUCGCUGCUGUCAGUAAUGUUUUCCCACUCGUCAAAUACAUUACACCAGAGGUGCGACCACCAUUGCUGAUGGCCUCGACUUUGGACAGUGGCAAAUUUACCUUGGAGCUGUCUGGAACUGGUUCUGUCAGAUACAGGGGAAGCUUUUGGCAGCAUCUCAUACAAACCCUUCUGGUUUUGGUACAAGUAUAGAAAAGCCUCUUUGGUCUGGGAAGAUAUACAAGCAUACACUCCAGUUUUAAAAUAUAUUUGAGGCUUCUUGGAGUAUGGUCAAACACUUCCCUGAUGAUUUCAGUGAAAGAAUUGGGAUAUUCAGUUGGUUUGUGUUUUACUUACCAGGAAAGUCUGCA